AAUUGUUUCAAAAGAAAAGUGUAUAACAUUUGUUACUAGAUUUUAGCCCUGAUUUUUGUUUUCCAGUGCAGAGUGAACCAUGAAUUAUUUCUUGGCUACAAUAAUCCUCUAAAGGAUGCUAGAUUAUAAUUCUUAUUCAUGGUUUUAGCUGAUGCCCUCAUGGAAUAGAUUCAUUUUUCUGUUCUGACACACAAGUACUCUUUGUCAAAUUAUUAAUGUUUUUUAUUUCUCCUUGUUUUAUUUCCAGGGAAACCAAAUCAUGGUAUUCUGAAGACCAGAGAUGAUAAUCUCCCUCAUUUGGCUUCCCACUGGGUCCGAUCUGUUAUUCACUACAAAUGCCCAGCUGCUAAGACUACACAAGCACACUCCCUGUAGGCCCAGGAACUAUUGCAGAAGAAAUGGGUGUAUGAGAUUUUAAGGGCUGGUUUUUGAGGGAUAUAAUUAAGUCAAGGUCACAACCUCCAAAUGAAGUUUGGGUACAAAGAUGCCUAAACAGCUGGUAAAACAAUGGCCUUUGCUUCUUGAGCUAUUAUGGGGCACCUUUGCAUCCACCCCAGCUAUUAAGAAUUUCCUUCUCCUGGGCCAGGCACGGUGGCUCAUGCCUGUAAUCCUAGCACUUUGGAAGGCUGAGGCAGGUGGAUCACGAGGUCAGGAGAUCGAGACCAUCCUGGCUAACACGGUGAAACCCCGUCUCUACUAAACAUACAAAAAAUUAGCCGGGCAUGGUGGUGCACACCUGUAGUCCCAGCUACACUGGAGGCUGAGGCAGAAUUGCUUGAACCUGGGAGGUGGAGGUUGCAGUGAGCCGAGAUGGCACCACUGCACUCCAGCCUGGGCAACAGACUGAGACUCCAUAUUAAAAAAAAAAAAAAGAAAAGAAUUUCCUUCUCCUGUAGAAUGAAAAGAAAAUAAUUUUUGAUAGGAUAAACAUACGCCGUGACAAAGCCUCCUGGGUAUAAGACUCCCAGCUAUGAACUGUACAGAUAGAUAUAUAUUUCUUUAAAAAAAUGUUUUCCAAACAAUGCUUGUGUUUUAUAGAGCUAAUUGCUAUAAGUCUGUAACUGAAACCAAGAUUACAGUAACUCAACAAAUAGAAGUUUAAAAUAAGCCAGCUUUGGGCCAGGCACAGUGGCUCAUGCCUGUAAUCCCAACACUUUGGGAGGCCGAGGUGGGUGAAUCACUUGAGGCCAGGAGUCCAAGACCAGGCUGGACAACAUGGUGAAAUCCCGUUUCUACUAAAAAUACAAAAAUUAGCCAGCUAAUAUAAUUUACUUUUUUUUUUUCUGAGACAGAGCCUCACUCUGUUGUCCAGGCUGGAGUGCAGUGGUGCGAUCUUGGCUCAUUGCAACCUCUUUCUCCUGGGUUCAAGCUACCUGGGAGACUGAGGCAGGAGAAUCACUUGAACCCAGGAGGCAGAGGUUGCAAUGAACUGAGAUUGCACCACUGCACUCCAGCCUGGGCAACAGAGUGAGACUCUGUCUCAAAAAAAAAAAAAAAAAAGUAAAUUUUGUAACCUCUCCUUUGGCUUUUUGUUUGUUGGCUUUCUACUUUAAAAAAUAAUAAUAAUUUUAAGGGGUAAUAAAUGCCUGUCCACGUCCAUUUCUAUCUCACCUAGAACAAUUAGUUGGAUGUAAGUCUUGUUGACCCUAAGUCCCUUGGCCACUUAGCCAAAGGGAGGGACAGAAUGGACCCAGGGCAGGCAACCAUGGCAUCCCGGCAAUGCUUACGGGACAAAAGCGAGGACUAAGCUAUGAUGUUUUUAUCUUGCCCAAAUUCCUAUCUAAGGGGUCUGGGGAGUCAUGCCGUACAAACUAUAAAUUCUCAUCAGAUGGUUUUUAUUUAACCCUAUAUAUUGUGACAUACUUUCCAACCUGACUCUGCCAUAACACUACGAGACAAGGAAGAAAAUAAAAAUAUUUUACCCCAAAACAUAUUUCUUUGCCAUAUCUUGAAAUGGCCCUGUAAAGCUGUUUUUUUUUUUUUUUUUUUGGUGGGGGGAAAUUUGCAUCUGUAAAGAAUCUCUAUUAACAUAGCUAGAUCUUUUUAUUCCAGGCCCUCCCAAUCCUAAAAAAAUUAACUAAAGUUCUAGCGCCUUUUAAACAUCUGAAUAGGAAACAUUUGUCAUCUAUUGUCUCUAAGGGAAGCCACUAUAAGACUUCAAAAGAACCUUGAUCUCCACAAUCUUUUUUUUUUUUUUUUUUUUUUUUUUUUUUGAGAUAGCGUGUCGCCCUGUUACGCAGCCUGGAGUGCAGUGGCACGAUCUCAGCUCACCGCAACCUCUGCCUCCCGGUUCAAGCAAUUUUCCUGCCUCAGCCUCCCCAGUAGCUGGGAUUACAAGCGUCUGCCACCACGCUCAGCUAAUUUUUUAUAUUUUUAGUAGAGACGGGGGUUUCACCAUGUUGUCCAAGCUGAUCUCGAACUCCUGACCUCAGGUGAUCCACCUGCCUCGGCCUCCCAAAGUGCUGAGAUUACAGGCGUAAACCACUGAGCCCAGCUGGUCUCCACAAUCUUUUAUCUUAACCUGUACAUUUCUUUCUAUCUAUCCCAGGUCUUUAGACAAACUCAACCAGUUGUCAACCAGAAAAUGUUUAAAUUUACCUACAGCACUUUGAGUUGUCCCGCCUUUUGGACCAAACCAAUGUAUUUCUUAAAUGUAUUUGAUUGACCUCUCAUGCUAAAACCAAGUUGCACCCCGACCACCUUGGGCACUUGUUCUCAGGACCUCCUGAGGGCUAUGUCAUGGGCCACGAUCACUCAUAUCUGGCUCAAAAUAAAUCUCUUCAAAUGUUUUACAGAGUUUGACUCUUUUCAUUGACAAAAGUACAAUUUUGUGGCCAUUGAUGUUGCCUCUGAAAAAUCUUGGCCAGAAAGGGGAGAAUGUAAACGAAAAAUAAAAUUUAAAAGUCCUCCAGCAACCCAACUGAAUGGACUCCCUCCUUGGCCAGGGCACCCUAAAAUGUAACCUGAAAGACUGGUUGAGGCUGUGAUGGGAAGUGGGGGUUGGACAUGCCUCAUUAUACCCCUCCAGUAUUAACAUCGACACAAACCUUAAGUCUGUUAAUAAACAUUUACAGUCUGUUCUCUCUAAUGCCUGCUACUUGGAGGCUUCAUCCGUAUGAUAAAACUCAGGACUCCACAACCCCUAUCGUAACCCUGACAUUCCUUUCUGUAGAUAAUAACUCUUUCAACCAAUUGCCAAUCAUUUAUUUAUUUAUGUAUUUUUUGAGACGGAGUUUUGAUCAGGCUGGUCUCAAACUCUUGACCUCAGGUGAUCCACUCACCUCAGCCUCCCAAAUUGCUGGGAUUACAGGUGUGAGCCACCGCACCAGGCCCAGGGUAUGUUUAAAUCUACCUAUGACCUGGAAGCACCCACAACCCUGCUUCGAAUUAUCCUGCCCUGCCAGAUAAAAUCAAUGUAAAUCUUACCUGUAUGGGUAGAUGCAUUGUAGCAGGACGAGCCACAGACACCGAGUUGAGGAAGGAGAGGGCUUUAUUUGGCCAGGCGCGUCGGCAGAGUUACGUCUCAAAAAACUGAGCUCCCAAGUAAGCAAUCCCUGUCCCUUUUAAGGGCUUACAACUCUAAGAGUGUCCGCGUGAGAGGGUCGUGAAUGAUUGAGCAAGCAGUGGGUACAUGACUGGGGGCUGCAUGCACUGGUAAUCAGAACGGAACAGAACAGGACGGAUUUUCACGAUGCUUUUCCAUACAAUGUCUGGAAUCUAUAGAUAACACAAGCAGUUAAGUCAGGGGUUGAUUUUUAACUACCAGCCCCAGGGUGCGGCUCCGGGCUGUCUGCCUGUGGAUUUCACUUCCGCCUUUUAGUUUUUACUUCUUUUUUCUUUGGAGGCAGAAAUUGGGCAUAAGACAAUAUGAGGGGUGGUCUCCUCCCUUAGCAUUAUGUCUCCCUAAAAUGUAUAAAAGCAAGCUGUACCCCAACCACCUUGGGCCCAUGUCAUCAGAAUUUCCUGAAGCUGUGUCACAUGCACGUCCUUAACCUUGACAAAAUAAACUUUUUAACUUGAUUGAGACUUGUCUCAGAUCUCAAGCUCCUUGUCUCAAGAAAUUCUCCCCGCUCAGCCUCUCAAAAUGUUGGGGUUACAGGCUUGAACCGCUGCACCUGGC
rnacentral:lncRNA from 1 species